rnacentral:rRNA from 1 species
GGGAAACCCUGACGCAGCAACGCCGCGUGAGUGAGGAAGGCUUUCGGGUCGUAAAGCUCUGUCAGAUGGGAAGAAAUGGAUGGAAGCCAAUACCUUUCAUUCUUGACGGUACCAUCAGAGGAAGCACCGGCUAACUCCGUGCCAGCAGCCGCGGUAAUAAUCGUCGACCUG